rnacentral:rRNA from 1 species
UACGAAGGGGGCGAGCGUUGUUCGGAAUUACUGGGCGUAAAGCGUGCGCAGGCGGUUGUGUAAGACAGAUGUGAAAUCCCCGGGCUCAACCUGGGAACUGCAUUUGUGACUGCACAGCUGGAGUGCGGCAGAGGGGGAUGGAAUUCCGCGUGUAGCAGUGAAAUGCGUAGAUAUGCGGAGGAACACCGAUGGCGAAGGCAAUCCCCUGGGCCUGCACUGACGCUCAUGCACGAAAGCGUGGGGAGCAAACAGG